UGUUUCUGUGAGGCGCAUGCGCCAUCCUGGAUAUAAAAUAUGGCGCAUUUUCUACGUCAGUGUUUAAAUUAAGGCGCGGCUUGCACCUGGUCGCAGGAAGACAUGAAACCAGCGUUCAGAUUCAUCCAUCCUGGCACGUGGAUCACAAAAUGCUCAUUUCUGAUCUCAAAAGACGCAGAAUCCGCGUGGACGCCCAACCUAAAUGACUCAAAACUUAUGCGGAUCUAUUUGAAAUUGUCUCCGUGUUGAUGGGGCCUACCUGCUGAGGGAUCUGCUUGAGUAGGUCAAGAGCGCCAUGUUUGAAAUAGCUGCAUUUGUUAGUCGAGCAGCAGACGAGGAGCGACAGGAACAUGGCGUCUGGCGGUGGAUUGUUUGGCCCACGGCGUCUCGGCGGCGGAUUGUUUGGCCGAUCUGAGGAGGGACAAUAUGGCGUCUGGAACUAGCAGCAGAUGGAUUAUGGAUAUACUAAGAUAAUCUUCAAUCAAGCUGAGGAUUCCCUUCAAUCAAAAUGAGGAUCGCUUCCGUCAAGCUGAGGAAUCGCUACAAGGUGCCUGGCGGACCCCGCCCAACCCAUCAAAGGUUUGUUAAGUCAAAGAACUGUUCCAAUGGCGGGUCCAGAAGACAUCUCAGGGUAGGAGCUGUUGGGUUUUGCUGUGCUAUGCUGCGGAUGCUACCGCUGUUGCUGAAGGCCAACGCUAGGCCUCUUGGUUUGAUUCUCUGCUGAGAGUCCAUGAGCUGAGAAGGAUUCUGCUGUUAAUCCUUCUGUCUUUAGGGUUUUGUGUGCUGUGGUCAUGUGACCUGUAGAGGUUUAUGCCAUCUAGCUUUUUGGAAUUUCAAGUUCAUAGCUGAAAGUCAGUUGUGAUGGAAAAGAAAGAUGGCUGCCAAUGAUUUGGCAACUGCAGUUUAGAGGCUGCAGGAAGUGAUUCAGCUUAAUAAAUAUCACUAUCAUAAACAUUGAUAACAUACCUACAUAUUAGUGAUCAUUUUUACAUACCUUUUUUAUUUUUUGUAUCUACUUAACAUUUGAAAUUUAAUCAAAUAUUUCAAAGAUAGGGUCAAUACUUCAAUAUAUCAAAAAGUCAAACAAAUUUCAUUUACGUUCAACAAUAAUUUAAAUUCAAGCGUAAAAACGGAUUUUAUUUUUGCGUCAACCUGCGGCGUUGCGAUAUUUAAUUUCUUCUGGACGACGACUCGGACUCCUGCAAUUUAAUUUCUUCUGGACGACAGUCAACAGAAAGAUCUGGAGCUGCAGGUCAGAGGUCACAGAGGUAAUGUAUACACUAACCCACCAUGUCUUUGCAGGUUUUCGGCUGAAAUUUACUCAUGUUUUCCUUCUAGAUCUGGAACCCGUCUGUGUUUGCAUCUGUUUUUAACCCAGUUUUUUUUCCUCGUAGAUAAAGCGUCUGGCUGACUUUGUGUUUCAUCUAACUAAUUUUUUCUCAUAGAUAAGCCACUAAAGAAGUUUCAACUACAACUAAAUAUUUCAUUUCUCCUUUAGAAAUUCUGCUGGAGCAGCUCUUUUUCUUCUUCUGUAUCUCUUUAUUCUGUCCUUUCCAAUCCCCCGGGGGUAGUGACAGAUGGCCUUUCAUACAGACCCAACUUCUGGUUCUGCUGGAGGGUUCUUCCUGUUAAAGGGAAGCUUUUCCUCCCCACUGUCACUACAUGCAUCCUCAAUAUGAGGUAUUGCUUUAGUUUACUUAACCUUUAACCACUUUAAAUAAUUGGUACAGUUUUUAUUUAUUUUUUUUGGAUUGUCUUCCUGUUAAAAGGAGGUUUUUCUUCACCACAGCUCUCCUCAAUGAGGCCUUGCUUAAGCUUAUGUAACCAUUAGCCGGUACUUGAUAACUGGUUUAUUUUAUUUAUUUAUUUUUGUUUUUGGAAAGUCUUUCUGUUAAAGGGAAGUUUUUCCUUUCCACUACAUGCAUGUUCAGUAUGAAGCAUUGCCUAACUUUUAACCAAUUUAAAUAACCGAUACAGUGUGAACCUUUUUUAAAUUCUUCCCCGUUAAAGAGAAGUUUUUCCUCCCAACUGUUACCACAUCGAUCCUCAGUAUGAGACAUUGCUUGAGCUUACUUGUAUAACUUAUAACCAUUUUAAAUGGGUAGGAACUUUUUUAUUUUUUAUUUAAAUCUUCCUGUUAAAAGGAAGUUUUUACUUUCCACUGCCACCACAUAUAUAUCAAAUAUGAGACAUUGCUUAAGCUUGCGUAACUUUUAGCAAGCGCUUCUUGACCGAUUUGGUUUUUUUUGUUUAAAAUUUAUUUAUUUAUUUUUUUGGGAAAGUCUUCCUGUUAAAGGGAAGUUUGUCUUUUCCACAGUCACUACAUGCAUGUUCAGUAUGCGACGUUUCACAAGCUUGUGCAACUUUUAACAAAUUUAAAUCUGUUCAGUGUGAUCUUUUUUGGAAAUUCUUCCUGUUAAAGGGAAGCAUUUUCUUUUUCACUCUUGCCACAUGGAUCCUCAAAAUGAUGAAUGGCUUAAGCUUACUUAGUUUACUAAACCAUCUUAAAUAAUUUAUACAGUGUGAAUAUUAAAAUUUUUUUUGGGGGGAGUCUUCCUGUUAAAGGGAAGAUUUUUCCUUUCCGCUUUCACCACAUGGAUAUCCAGUAUGAGAAAUGGCUUAAGCUUACGUAACCUUUAACCGUUUGGUAACGUGUUUAUUUAUUUUUUUGGAAAGUCUUUCUGUUAAAGGGAAGUUUCUCCUUUCCACUGUCACCACAUGCCUCCUCAGUAUGUCUGUAAUGGAGGGUAAUUUUGAGCUCAUGGUUGUGAAUUUGAGGCCUUAUCAAUACCACGUGGUAUAUGGACUGAGAAGAUGGAUGCUGAUCAGCAAUUGUUGUUGAGAUUGAGACUCUGAAGGCACCAGAUGGUGUUGGACUGGUGGAAAAUAUGGAUGUCAAGAUGGUUGCUAGGGCACUGGACUGUGAACCCAAUGCCAGGAAAUGUGGUUUUCUCCUUCCUGUAGUCACUCCUUAAGGCUUGAAGUCAUCGGAUGAGUUCAUGGACAUUGGUAGCAAACAGUCAUCGGAUGAGUUCAUGGACAUUGGUAGCAAACAAAGUCAUCGGUUGAGUUCAUGGACAUUGGUAGCAAACAAAGUCAUCGGCUGAGUUCAUGGACAUUGGUAGCAAACACAGUCAUCGGCUGAGUGCAUGGACAUUGGUAGCAAACACAGUCAUCGGAGGAGUUCAAGGAAUUUGGUAACAAAGGAAGUUGUUUUGGUCUUGGGUGCAACAACCAGAACUUUGAUUCGCUCAACACAGGAAAAACACGGUAGGCUAUAUAAAAGUUUGGUGUUCUGGUCUUGGUAUAAUGACCAGAACAGAUCUUGUAUUCUCUGUUUGUGAUAAAGUGUGUAACAACCCAUAGGGAAAAGUCUUUCAGACAGGUUUCAGGGUUUGACCUGAAACGUGUGCCGUCCUUCAGGAAUCCUCCUGGAUCAUGAUUUCGUCUCUGAUUUCCCCCUUCGACCCUCCAUUGAUGGAUGGAAAAGCCCUUCGCCACCCCACUGAUGGAUGACCUUAGUGACCUUACCAUCACCCUCAACAGUCUUCCUCAAAUGCUGCAGGAAUCCUCCUGGAUCAUCUUGUCGUCUCUGAUCUUGCCCUUCAUCGGCCAUCAACAACUGCCGGAGAAGCCUUUCAUCCCCCACCCACUGAUGGAUGACCAUGGAUCAUCUUGUUUUCGACUCUGACUUCGCCCUUCAUCGAUCCUCCAUUGACGGAUGGAAAAGACCUUCGCCACCCUGCUGAUGGAUGACCUUAGUGACCUCUGUGACCUUACCACUGGACUCGGCAAGUGUUCCCAGGCGGAAAAGACCUUCAUCAUCCUACCAACAGGCCCAUCAAUCUUCAUCAAGAAGUGCUGCAGGAAUCCUCCUGUAUCAUCUUCUCCUUCGACGAUGGAUGGACUUUUUUUGUUUUCUUUUUGGACAGUUUUGUUUAGAGACUUCAUAAUUUACUUUUAUUUUGGAUAUUUAAAAUGUCUUGUUGUUCUGAUCUGUCUCUAUCUGCUGUUGUGUGUUUGGGUUACAGGUUUUCUGUUUUUCUCUCCAUAGAAGCUGCACCUGGUCGGGCGUUCUGAUUG